UGCGCAGGCGGUUAUGUAAGUCAGAUGUGAAAUCCCCGGGCUUAACCUGGGAAUGGCAUUUGAGACUGCAUGGCUAGAGUGUGUCAGAGGGGGGUAGAAUUCCACGUGUAGCAGUGAAAUGCGUAGAGAUGUGGAGGAAUACCGAUGGCGAAGGCAGCCCCCUGGGAUAACACUGACGCUCAUGCACGAAAGCGUGGGAGCAAACAGGAUUAGAUACCCUGGUAGUCCACGCCCUAAACGAUGUCUACUAGUUGUCGGGACUUAAUUGUCUUGGUAACGCAGCUAACGCGUGAAGUAGACCGCCUGGGGAUACGGUCGCAAGAUUAAA
rnacentral:rRNA from 1 species